rnacentral:rRNA from 1 species
GACGGAGGAUGCAAGCGUUAUCCGGAAUGAUUGGGCGUAAAGCGUCCGCAGGUGGCAGUUCAAGUCUGCUGCCAAAGACCGGGGCUUAACUUCGGAAAGGCAGUGGAAACUGAACAGCUAGAGUAUGGUAGGGGCAGAGGGAAUUCCUGGUGUAGCGGUGAAAUGCGUAGAUAUCAGGAAGAACAUCGGUGGCGAAGGCGCUCUGCUGGACCAUAACUGACACUCAGGGACGAAAGCUAGGGGAGCGAAUGGG